rnacentral:rRNA from 1 species
UGGGGAAUUUUGGGCAAUGGGGGAAACCCUGACCCAGCAACGCCGCGUGUGGGAUGAAGGCUCUCGGGUCGUAAACCACUGUCAGGAGGGAAGAACGGCAUCACGGGAAACAUUCGUGGUGUUUGACGGUACCUCCAAAGGAAGCACCGGCUAACUCCGUGCCAGCAGCCGCGGUAAUACGGAGGGUGCAAGCGUUGUUCGGAAUUACUGGGCGUAAAGAGCGUGUAGGCGGUCGAGCAAGUCGGUUGUGAAAGCCCCGGGCUUAACCCGGGAACUGCAUCCGAAACUUCUCGACUAGAGUCCCGGAGAGGAAGGCAGAAUUCCCAAUGUAGGGGUGAAAUCCGUAGAUAUUGGGAGGAAUACCAGCGGCGAAGGCGGCCUUCUGGACGGUGACUGACGCUGAGACGCGAAAGCGUGGGGAGCAAACAGGAUUAGAUACCCCCGUAGUCC